GUGCACCAGUCGAGAAUUUUUCUCAAUGGGGGCAACCCUGAAGGAGCGACGCCGCGUGGAGGAUGAAGGCUUUCGGGUUGUAAACUCCUGUCAUUUGAGAACAAGUGGCCGAACCUAACUACUUCGGCCUUGAUAGUAUCAGAAGAGGAAGGGACGGCUAACUCUGUGCCAGCAGCCGCGGUAAUACAGAGGUCCCAAGCGUUGUUCGGAUUCAUUGGGCGUAAAGGGUGCGUAGGUGGCGCCGUCAGUGGGGUGUGAAAUUUCGGAGCUUAACUCCGAAACUGCAUUCCAUACUGCGGUGCUUGAGGACUGGAGAGGAGACUGGAAUUUACGGUGUAGCAGUGAAAUGCGUAGAGAUCGUAAGGAAGACCAGUGGCGAAGGCGGGUCUCUGGACAGUUCCUGACACUGAGGCACGAAGGCCAGGGGAGCAAACGGGAUUAGAUACCCCGGUAGU
rnacentral:rRNA from 1 species